UGGGGUAAGGUGGCGCCAGGAGGGGACGGGCAGUUUUUCUGGCCUUCACUGGCCUGUGGUUUCCGCAGUGCAGGGCAUGGGACUGUGGGGCGAUGGAGCAAGGAGGAUGGAGUUUCUGUCCCUGGGAAGCCUCUUGUCUGAGGGGAGACAUGCCCCGAGCCUUCAGGGACCGCCUAGUCGGAGGGGGAGACACAGCCCUUGUCCUGGGGAGUUUGGAAUAACCGUAUUGGGGCCAGGGACAGAGGAUGAUGGAGUCACCCUGCUCUGCAUGGAGCACGGGACCACCCGGCCUCACGGGGCUGGGCAGACGCUUCUGUUUCUUCUGCAUGGAGCACGGGAUCACCUGGCCUCAUGGGGUUAGGCAGACGCUUCUGUUUCUUAGGAAGAGGUCUGUUUGCUUCUCAAAUGCUUCCCGGGAACCUCCUCCACCACUGCAGCCCUGCACUGUGGGCAGGAAUGUCACUAGCCCCCUUUUACGGAUGAGGAAACUGAGGCUCAGGCAUCUGGGAAAAUGUGCUGUGGGCAGCCCCCCCGGACAGAGCUGUGCUGGCACCCUCCAGACAGUGCAGGAGAAGGGCAGGUCCCACAGAGUCCCUGCUGUUCCCCCAAGUCCUGAGGCCAGGGGGUGCUGUCUCUACUCUCAGUCCCCUGCCAGGACCUGUCCCCUGGUUCAAUCCCAGGCAGGCCAGCGGGGAGGGUGGGGUGGGAGACUUGGUUCUGCUGAGGCUGCAGCUUCCCUGGCCCACCUAGGCUGAGUCAGGGCUGGGCAGGAGCCGAGGGCAGCAGCUUUCCCAGGGCCAGCCCGGGCGGCGUCCGCAUUCCUCACUUGCAGGGUGCGUCUGGGCUUGGCUGAGCCAGGUGUGCUGUGCCCCACCCAGGCCCCCGCCUGCAGCUGAGCCAGCUCAGCGCUGGGGCCUUGUAAGGAAGCUUCUGGCAGCCACCAGGAACGGGGUGUGGGAACUGCUUGGCUUGCAUGUCCUUGCUGGGUGGGGUGCAGGCUGGGGGAGAUCAGCCUGCUAGAGCCCAAGCUCCCACAGUGGCCAGGGCAAUUGGGGUGCCCACUCCUCACCCCCUCCUCACACUCUGCUCUUGCCUCUGCAGUUGGAGAGCUGGAGGCCGAGGCCCCAGGCAGUCUGUGGUUUGGAGCUUUGGUCUUGGUCAUUGCUCAGUAGAUGCUGGGGGCAGAAUGAAGGAUGUUCUGAGAGCUGAGGUGGUGGUGAGGGCCCCGCAGUGGCCAGGAAGCAGCAGAGGGACACGUUCUGUUUGCUGCCUCCAGCCUCUAAGGGAUGCCUUUGUCCUAAGCAGCUUGGAGCUCUGUGCCAGAUGGGGCCCUGGAGUAGAGGCUGUGAGUGCGGACUUGUGCCCAUGGGGUGCCCAUCUCUGGGGACUGCUGCUGACACCUUGCCACUUGGCCCUGUGUCCCCCACACCCCAGCUGGGCUGUCUGCACUGGCACCUGGGUCUGGAAGGGGUCUAUAUGGGGUUGGCCAAGGUCAGUCCUCACCACUUACUGCAGUGAAAUUCUUCCCACAAUCCACUUCCUCUCUUUGGGCCUCUGUUUUCUUUCCUGGAAAGUGGGGGUAGGAACUCCCUUUCCCAAUGUCCCUGGGCGCUUUUUGUUUUUCACUUAAUUAAAAUUUUUUUUUGUUAUUUUUGAGAUAGGGCCUCACUCUGUCGCCCAGGUUGGAGUGCAGUGACGCCAUCACAGCUCGUGCAGGCUUGAUCUCCUGGGCUCAAGCGGUUCUCCCACCCCAGCCUCCUGAGUAGCUGGGAUCACAGGUGCACACCACCAAGCCUAGCUGAAUGUCCCUGGGUUCUUGGUGGAUGGAAUGUGACCAUGAGACUGAGGAUGUGUGUUGGGAGCUGAGAUGAGCUGUGCUGGGACCUGCAUCUUCUCCACCACAGGACCCCCCAACUUAGCGCUGUAGCUUCUCCAUCACUGUCUAUUUGAAGUCCUUCCCCCAGGCCCUGGACGGGGAAACUCAGGACUCCUCUCCGGGUAGAGUCUGGCAGCAGUCGGGCCAGAACAGCUCAGUGCUGCCCUCUGGGGGCGAGGCCGCGGCUUCCUCCUGCUCAGCCCCAGCCUGGGUUGGAAGGAGCCCACCCAGCUAAGCGUGGCGAGACCCGACAGAGGGGUGGGCGCAGUCACUGCCCACACACCUGCAAGGCACGCCUGGACGCACAUCCGCAUGUGGCCAUGCACAGGUGUGCACACGGACUUUACCCUCGUUCGUUUGUAUUAUGUCCCCCGUUGGUGUCACACCCCGCGUGGGAAGCCCAGAAGCCGCUGCCGCUCCUCAGGAGUUGACAGGAGGGAGAGGUCCCCGCGGGUGGAGCGUGUCUGCUCCAGGGACCCUCAGACUCGGGGCCGGGCAAGCUGGAGGGAAGGCUGGUUUUGGGGUUAGCAGUUUAUUAACAGAGGGACUUGAGCGGGUGGGCGUGGGGGAGGGACACGUGCCAAAGGCAGGGAAGGGCUUUUUUGAGAUGGAGGGAUGGGGGAUAGGGGGUGAUACACAGCGCAGGCCAGCUUCAGAAGGGAAUGUUGUGUCCAUGCGCCUGGAGGCAGAGGCAUGGACACACGGCCCAGCCGGGGCCUGGUGCUCUGGCUGUUAAGGGACUAGAGACGGUGAAGCUGAAGAUGGCGAGGAGGAGCCAGGACCCUGGGGGAGAAGGAGUAGUUUGCAGAGCGCAGGUGGAGGAUGGGUCUCCAGGGUCCCUGCAUUCCUCCCGCGGCCUCGCGGGCUCCUCUCGGGACUGCAGCGCAGAGGCGCCACCCAAGAUGGCCAGCAGAGGGCGCUCCUGCUACAGAUUUGGGGAUCCCGGGCGGCCGGAGCGUGUCCCCGUUUAACAGGGCAUGAGCCUUGGAAGGCGGCUGGGCCUGGGGUCUCCAUGGGGAGCACUAGAGCCUGCCCCUUGGGAGCCACCGAGCACAAGAAUGAGGAGAGACGACCUCAUGAGGUGGGAACCCCACAGGGUUCCAUGCAUCCUUUUCUGCUGCUGCCGGGUCAGGCAUUUGUCUGGUCAAUGCUUCCAUCCUUUUGUCCCAAGGUGGUGCCUUUUAAAUCACCCCCGGAGAUGUGACUGGCCCGCCUAACCUGCCCUGGAGGUCUUCCUCCAGGCCAGGGGUCUGUUAGGGCCAGCUAGCCUUUCUAGAAAGUUCCCUGGGUUCUAGCCCCUGCAGCUUCCCUGGUGGCCCCUUGCUCCUGCUUCCUGUCCCUGCCUCUGGGAGGAGGACUUGCUUGUCUGGUCUCCUUCCUCACCCUGCCUCAUCCAAGGAGGCUUCUCCAUCGCUGCCGGUGCAUCCUGCAGUUCUGAGGACCAGACGCACCCUUGGUCUUCUGCCGUAAAGAGUUACGGGCGUUCACGCAGCUGGCGGGUGAACACUGCCAGGUCCCCUGCUUGGCUUGAGGUGUGGCAGCCGCCAUCAACUACUGGGGGAGGCGACUAGGGAGGAGAAAAUCCCUUCGGUUGUGAAUUCUGCCUUCCACCUCCCAGCAUCUCCACCUGGACAGAGGGACCACACACUCAAGCCAUUUACUCAUUGAUUUUUAAAUUAAAUUAAAUUAAAUUUAUUUUAAAAUUA